rnacentral:rRNA from 1 species
UACGUAGGGUGCAAGCGUUAAUCGGAAUUACUGGGCGUAAAGCGUGCGCAGGCGGUGAUGUAAGACAGAUGUGAAAUCCCCGGGCUCAACCUGGGAACUGCAUUUGUGACUGCAUCGCUGGAGUAUGGCAGAGGGGGAUGGAAUUCCGCGUGUAGCAGUGAAAUGCGUAGAUAUGCGGAGGAACACCGAUGGCGAAGGCAAUCCCCUGGGCCUGUACUGACGCUCAUGCACGAAAGCGUGGGGAGCAAACAGG